CGCCGCCUCAGCGCGGCAGGUAGCGGGCCGGGCAGCGGUCCCCGGCGGGACCUUCGGGCCGGGGCUGGAGAGGAAGGGCAGGUGUGAAAGGAGGAGCCUCUAUGAGCCCCCCGGUAGGCACGCUUGAGCCCGAUUUACCGGCACCCGCCUGUGCCUCACCAGAGGUGAAAAAGGAGCGGGGUGAAUACGGUCCACAUAGGAUUUAACGGCUAGAAGAAAUGUGGCACACAGCGAGAGAAAGUGCCAAUCCUUCAACAAACUCCUCAGCGACAGAGCAAAGGCUUUUUUCCCCACAACUUGUUGGGAUGCCCAUGUUCCUAUGAGCUUGGACGAAUGCUUUCUAGUAGUCUGUGACCUUACAGUGAUGGAUUCAGAGAUGUGAUUUAGAGCAUUCUGUGCACCCGCUUCUAGCUGACGCAUGCUAUGCACAUACCAGGAUCCACAUUAUUGAUGAUUUUGAGGAAAAAUCAAGGCCCCCAUGUACAGUUGUGACUUCCAGCACACACGAGCCUCCUCCAUUUGUACAUAGGAACACCUGCAAAGCACAUCAGAGUUGAUCACAGCCAAGGACGAAAAGUUAUAUUUAGUAUAUGAAUUUCCAUGUGAACAAAAUAAAUAAAUAAAUAAAUCAGGGAAACACCUAGUUUUGCUGAACAUAAUGGUUUGGAUUGUAGUUUAGAGGCCUAGCCUUUCUCACUUGUCAGGAGGAAUGAGUUGUUCUGCUGGUUUUUUGGCAUUCUAACACAAAUGCCUCCUGGGGCCUAAAAAGCAUUUCCUGUAGUAACAAGUAUCUGAUCGGUUGGUUCAAUAGAUGUAGCUUGAACUUGGCACUUGCUAGCAGAUUUAGCAUGUGCUUUGAAGGAAUGGGACUUGGGACCAUAUACCUAUCACCCUCAGCAAGCUGCCUUUUCUGUUGUGUAAAUCUGUGUCAAUCUGAGCCUGCUUAUGAAGAACAUAACUUGCAGAAGAGAUUCCACUCCCCAGGAGAAGAAAACUGAAGGAAAUACCCCUUGAGCUCUUUCUAUCCUGAAAUGUUCAGAGCACUGAUAAAGCUAUCAACUGCUGUGAUAGUUUGCGUAAUAUAAACACCUGCCUGCUGCAAGGACACAAGCAAAGCCAUAGACAGUUGGCCACUGUACAGCUGGAAACUACCUUUCUGCAUUGCAGAACCAGACCAGUUACAAACAAGUAAGCUGUAGCUGAAAGAUAGGAUAAUCCUGUUCUGGUCUGACAGCCAUCCAAUCCUGUGGAUGCAUAU
ensembl:lncRNA